rnacentral:rRNA from 1 species
AUAGAUACCCCGGUAGUCCACGCCGUAAACGAUGUCGACUUGGAGGUUGUGCCCUUGAGGCGUGGCUUCCGGAGCUAACGCGUUAAGUCGACCGCCUGGGGAGUACGGCCGCAAGGUUAAAACUCAAAUGAAUUGACGGGGGCCCGCACAAGCGGUGGAGCAUGUGGUUUAAUUCGAUGCAACGCGAAGAACCUUACCUACUCUUGACAUCCAGAGAACUUUCCAGAGAUGGAUUGGUGCCUUCGGGAACUCUGAGACAGGUGCUGCAUGGCUGUCGUCAGCUCGUGUUGUGAAAUGUUGGGUUAAGUCCCGCAACGAGCGCAACCCUUAUCCUUUGUUGCCAGCGGUCCGGCCGGGAACUCAAAGGAGACUGCCAGUGAUAAACUGGAGGAAGGUGGGGAUGACGUCAAGUCAUCAUGGCCCUUACGAGUAGGGCUACACACGUGCUACAAUGGCGCAUACAAAGAGAAGCGACCUGCGAGAGCAAGCGGACCUCAUAAAGUGCGUCGUAGUCCGGAUUGGAGUCUGCAACG